CGGGUGAGUAACACGUGGGUAACCUGCCCGGAAGUGGGGAAUACCUCGGAGAAAUUCGAGCUAAUACCGCAUGACAUCUUCGGGACGAAAGUCCUGACGAUCAAAGCGGGGUCGCAAGAUCUCGCGCUACCGGAUGGGCCCGCGCCCAUUAGCUAGUUGGUGAGGUAACGGCUCACCAAGGCUUCGAUCGGUAACCGGCCUGAGAGGGCGAUCGGUCACACCGGAACUGAGACACGGUCCGG
rnacentral:rRNA from 1 species